AGGCGGGUAGCUCAACUGGUAGAGCAGCGGCCUCCAAAUCCGCAGGUUGCAGGUUCGAUUCCUGUCCCGCCUGCCA
rnacentral:tRNA from 1 species